UCUCUUCCUCCACUCCCUCACACUCUCCUCCUCCACUUCCCCACGAAAUAAUGCUGCCCCUUGCUUGCAUGGCCGGCCAUGGCCAUGGAAACCAUCCAAGAAGCAGCUCCCCUCCUCCCUCAAGCUCAUCCUCACCAUCAGAGCAUCUCUCUCACUCUCUUCUCCCCUAACCUUUGAUGAAUCCAGCUCCCUUUCUCUUUUCCCCUCUCACAAGAUUAGAUCUUGAUGCAGGUGCAUGUUGGUCCAAGCAUGGAGAAGGUUGAGCAAUCCUCAGAUCUGAAACUCUUGACCAAAAUCCAAUUCGAGUGAUUCAAAGUUCCACAGAUAGGUAUUGAAAUAAUCUACAACUUGGCAUUGGUCUCAUCCUCAAAUUCGUUACGGAUUUUGCAUGAUCAAGAUCUGGUCAGAUCUGACUUUGUCGAAUUAAACCAGGAGCUUGGAAACGAAGUUUUGGAUGAAACCAAUUGGGUAAGAACCAAC